rnacentral:antisense_RNA from 1 species
UGUGGGAGCGGGCUUGCUCGCGAAAGCGGUGUGUCAGCCACUUAUUUGCCAACUGACACACCGUCUUCGCGAGCAAGCCCGCUCCCACA